rnacentral:rRNA from 1 species
GGAGGAAUGUAUAGCGAAAGCUAAUUGUAUCAAUAUAUAGUUGAUGCAAUAUCGACUAAGUUGAAUAAAAUUCUAGGUAGAAUUAUGAUAAUGACAUUUUCUGCCUAUGUGUCUUGACCAAAUUACGUGCCAGCAGUCGCGGUAAUACGUAGAAGACUAGUGUUAUUCAUCUUUAAUUGGUUUAAAGGGUACCUAGACGGUAAAUCAAGCCUUCAAGGGGACUAAUUUACUAGAGUUACUUAUGAGGGGGCAGUAAAGUACUGCUGGUGUAGAGAUGAAAUUCUGUCAUACCUAAUUCAUAUAACGUCUUCUAGACGAAAGAACCUACGGCACAGGUAUAGGCGAAAGCAUCUCCUUAUGUGAUAACUGACGUUGAGGGACGAAGGCUUUGUGUAGCGAACAGGAUUAGAUACCCAAGUAGUCAAAGCAGAAAAUGAUGAAUGUCAUAGAUUAGACAUAUAGUUUAUUCUAUAAAUGAAAGUGUAAGCAUUCCACCUCAAGAGUAAUUUGGCAACAUUGGAACUGAAAUCAUUAGACCGUUUCUGAAACCAGUAGUGAAGUAUGUUGUUUAAUUUGAUAGUCCUCAAAAAACCUUACCACAAUUUGAAUAUUUAUGUUUCCAUUAGUUCUGUUUUUAAAACUUGUUUCAUAAAAACAGGAAAAUAUAUAAAACUAAGUUUUUUUUUGUUAAUAAUAAACGGGCUGGAACUAAUUAAGACAUAUCUACAAGCGUUGCACGGCUGUCUUCAGUUAAUGUCGUGAGAUUUUGGUUAGUUCCAUUAAAUUAACGUAAACCCUUACUUUAUUUUUAGAUAAAGUAGUUCCCCAAUAUAUUGGAUAAGAUAACAGGACUAAGACAAGUCAUCAUG